GACGAACGCUGGCGGCGUGCUUAACACAUGCAAGUCGAACGGAAAGGCCCUGCUUUUGUGGGGUGCUCGAGUGGCGAACGGGUGAGUAACACGUGAGUAACCUGCCCUUGACUUUGGGAUAACUUCAGGAGACUGGGGCUAAUACCGGAUAGGAGCUCCUGCUGCAUGGUGGGGGUUGGAAAGUUUCGGCGGUUGGGGAUGGACUCGCGGCUUAUCAGCUUGUUGGUGGGGUAGUGGCUUACCAAGGCUUUGACGGGUAGCCGGCCUGAGAGGGUGACCGGCCACAUUGGGACUGAGAUACGGCCCAGACUCCUACGGGAGGCAGCAGUGGAGAAUAUUGCACAAUGGGCGGAAGCCUGAUGCAGCAACGCCGCGUGCGGGAUGACGGCCUUCGGGUUGUAAACCGCUUUCGCCUGUGACGAAGCGUGAGUGACGGUAAUGGGUAAAGAAGCACCGGCUAACUACGUG
rnacentral:rRNA from 1 species